rnacentral:rRNA from 1 species
UAGGGAAUCUUCGGCAAUGGGGGGAACCCUGACCGAGCAACGCCGCGCGAGUGAAGAAGGUUUUCGGAUCGUAAAGCUCUGUUGUUAAGGAAGAACGAGUGUGAGAAUGGAAAGUUCAUACUGUGACGGUACUUAACCAGAAAGGGACGGCUAACUACGUGCCAGCAGCCGCGGUAAUACGUAGGUCCCGAGCGUUGUCCGGAUUUAUUGGGCGUAAAGCGAGCGCAGGCGGUUAGAUAAGUCUGAAGUUAAAGGCAGUGGCUCAACCAUUGUAGGCUUUGGAAACUGUUUAACUUGAGUGCAGAAGGGGAGAGUGGAAUUCCAUGUGUAGCGGUGAAAUGCGUAGAUAUAUGGAGGAACACCGGUGGCGAAAGCGGCUCUCUGGUCUGUAACUGACGCGGAGGCUCGAAAGCGUGGGGAGCGAACAGG